GCCUGGGUGGCUCAGUGGUUGAGUGUCUGACCUUGGCUCAGGUCGUGAUCCUGGGGUCCUGGGAUCGAGUCCCACAUCAGGCU
rnacentral:tRNA from 1 species